AUUACCAAAUUUUACAAGUUACAAAAAUUUUACAUUAUUUUAUCGGAGUGAUUACAAAAGUAUAAGUUUGAAAUAUAUGCUAGCUCAAGUGACCAUCCUCAGUAAGAAGUAUAGAAGAGUUACUUAGACUUAUAAGAAGGCCGAGCCCACCGACACUUAACACCAUCACAGCAGCACAAAACUAUAACCUGAAAAACAACAGGGAAUAAAACCCUGAGUAUGGAAUUACUCAGCAAGACUUACCCGACUAAAGAAAAGACUCUCAAGGGUAUGCUGGAUUUGGGAAUCAAGGAGAGGCUUUAGCAAUAAUCAACUUAGAUACUUUUGCAGAAAUAGCUUACUAAAGUCUUACUUCCAAUAUUUUAACGCCAGAUUAAAUAUUAAUAGACUCUAUUUGCACCUAGUUUAAUUUCACCAUCUCAUCAAUACAACAUCAUUUUUAUUCAUAAUGUUCACAUCCUGACUUAGGUUGCAGGGCAGCGAUCAAGUCUCCACUCUCCGGGGAUAUAACGGCGAUCCGAAUCGAUUUACUCAGCUGAGGAUCUCUAACCACACGACGUAUGUUUCUCGUAAACCUUGCAUGUCUACCAUUCCCACGGAUCCUCCACUGCAUGAACAGGUCCGCGCCACCCGAGAGCACACCACCCCUUUUAGGCGAUCCUUUGCCAGGAGGGUACGUGCCACUCUCGUCAUCUCUCCACUCCCAGUGCGCGAUUGUCUUUUCAUGUAUGGAAUAGCCGGGUUCAAGCUUACCCUGUCCCGUUUCCAGGGCAUGUGGCUAGAUAAGAUAGUCCUUGAUCAACAGGCCUACAUACGCAUCCAAUCCUUAACUAACCUGGGUAGAACAUCACCUGUUCCUAGCCCAAGUCCCGAUUUAAGUACUUCCAUCCUUAGGAUUGUUUAUGUUCCUAGGAUGAAAAGAGCAUCAAAGGGAACUUUGCAGUAAGAUCCCACCACGCUCACAAUGAAAAUAUUCUUGCAGGUAGAAGUCAUCUUUCCUCAGGAUAACCCCUGAGCUAGGACUUAAUGCAAAAGACAACCUCUAUCCACAAGAUCUAAGCAGGGAUAAGCAUUUUUGUAAAUCAUAUUUUGAUACUUCACCAGAAGUAUCUAUAAAGGUAUGAAUAUCAAGGAAGGCAAUGCAUCAAAGGGUUUCCAAGCAACUCCUAUAACCUAAUGCACAUUUCACUAGACUUAAAGUGUGCAAAAAUUAUUUAAAAACACAAGGAAGGGGUUGCAUGCACCGGGGCUUGCCUGAGUAACACUAGGUUAGUG
rnacentral:lncRNA from 1 species